UGUGUGGGUGGACCACAUUCCCCAGUCCCAGGACACCUGCUUCUUUGUAGUGACUGGGUGUAUUGACACACAAUUCAAAGUGUAAUGAAAAACUUCACCAUGCUCAAAGGGAGGCUGUAACACAACAAAAUGUGGAAAAAGUCAAGAGGUGUGAAUAUUUUCUGAAGGGACUGUAAAUAGAUGGAGCACCAAUUCGCUAGCCUGGUUUUUUGAUCAUGCAUAGUGGGUCGUUCAAUGGAGUCAAGAGACUUAAUUUGAAAUGUUCAAAUAUGGAACCAAAGCGUUUGAACAUUUUUUGUUCUCAUCUGUUCAUGCACCAGAUUGGAAUGCAAAGUUUGUUUGCUCAAGGCCAGGAGAGAGACACUACAACUGGCCAACGGUGCCAAGUUUGGGCCGCAGACAUGAAGGGCCUGAAGUCGAAAGUGUGGCAGAUGCUACCUAGCCACGGAUGAGGGUCCAGAUUCAGGUCACCCGUUACCUGAAAGGGGCCUCUGAUUGUGAAUGUAGGAUCUGGCGGCACACAGGAGAGAGGAAUCUGCUGUAGUGAGAGUCACGUUUCGGACCACCUGUUUCAAAGCCAGCCUCUACCACAAUAUAACCACAAUACUGUUCCAACAGUUGAACCCUGGGCUGACUUUGCAACAUACCCCACCCACUCUUACCAUUUACUUUAAUAUUCUGUACACACUGAAAUUACUUUAUAGUGUACAGUAUCAUAGUACAGUACCCUCAAACACAAAUGUCCCACUACACCCGAUUUCCCACUAAUGCAGAUUUAUAGGCCUAGCCCACUUCUAGGACAAAGAACAAAACUGUUACUGUCAUUCACCAGUGUAAAAAACAUUUCUGGGGUUAAUUGAAAUUGACAACAAAAAAAAUGUAUACAAAUAUACUUAAUCAAAAUGAAUUCAAGUACUUUCAGUGAUUUGUUCAUUUAAUUUUACCCCAACAUUUUAGAAUAAAUCCAAUUUAAUAUGUUG